UUUUUCAAUUGCGCUAAUGCAUUUGAUGAAAUUAUUUCACUGAAGUACCGUAAACGGCCCCAGAAAAGUAAUAUCAUAUAGUCUUUGUUAGCCUGUCAUGUAAACGUCGAGUCAGCAAUGGGCAUUGGUUUUAUUGCAACCUUUUCUUUAAUAAAACCUCUCUCGAACUCUAGCAAUGAGACUUUCAUCCACUUUCAUCCCACGACGUGACCAUUGUCAUGUAAAUCUGAUUUAGAAAGAAAUGCAAACUUAGCACGGACGGAUGAAUAUUUCAAAUUAUGUUGUGCGAGUAUAGUUUUAGUAGAACCUUAUUUAUUUAAGCUUAAAGUCUAAUUUUCAGAAACAAUGCCACUGUGUGAUAUAGAAAUUGUAGCCAGAUAUUUCUGAAUCGCUAGGUGGCGUUGCCGACAGAUGCCGAGGGCGAAUUUUUCAUCGCGAGGUUGACGCGAGAAUCGGGUUUUAUUUUUCAGGUAAACAACUUUGGUGCAGUUUCGUGCAGCGUGCAGUUUUCAAGUGCGCUGGCUGCAGCGGAAGUCAACUAUGAAAUCUUUUUUGUAAAAUAAAAUGUA